GUAGGUGAACCUGCGGAGGGAUCAUUACACAAAUAUGAAGGCGGGCUGGAACCUCUCGGGGUUACAGCCUUGCUGAAUUAUUCACCCUUGUCUUUUGCGUACUUCUUGUUUCCUUGGUGGGUUCGCCCACCACUAGGACAAACAUAAACCUUUUGUAAUUGCAAUCAGCGUCAGUAACAAAUUAAUAAUUACAACUUUCAACAACGGAUCUCUUGGUUCUGGCAUCGAUGAAGAACGCAGCGAAAUGCGAUAAGUAGUGUGAAUUGCAGAAUUCAGUGAAUCAUCGAAUCUUUGAACGCACAUUGCGCCCUUUGGUAUUCCAAAGGGCAUGCCUGUUCGAGCGUCAUUUGUACCCUCAAGCUUUGCUUGGUGUUGGGCGUCUUGUCUCUAGCUUUGCUGGAGACUCGCCUUAAAGUAAUUGGCAGCCGGCCUACUGGUUUCGGAGCGCAGCACAAGUCGCACUCUCUAUCAGCAAAGGUCUAGCAUCCAUUAAGCCUUUUUUUCAACUUUUGACCUCGGAUCAGGUAGGGAUACCCGCUGAACUUAAGCAUAUCAAUAAGCGGAGGAGGAUCCGUG
rnacentral:rRNA from 1 species